UUUGGGUGCCAGCCCCGUUGCG
rnacentral:miRNA from 1 species